UGAGGAAUAUUGGUCAAUGGACGAGAGUCUGAACCAGCCAAGUAGCGUGAAGGAUGACUGCCCUAUGGGUUGUAAACUUCUUUUAUACGGGAAUAAAGUGAGGCACGUGUGCCUUUUUGUAUGUACCGUAUGAAUAAGGAUCGGCUAACUCCGUGCCAGCAGCCGCGGUAAUACGGAGGAUCCGAGCGUUAUCCGGAUUUAUUGGGUUUAAAGGGAGCGUAGGCGGACGCUUAAGUCAGUUGUGAAAGUUUGCGGCUCAACCGUAAAAUUGCAGUUGAUACUGGGUGUCUUGAGUACAGUAGAGGCAGGCGGAAUUCGUGGUGUAGCGGUGAAAUGCUUAGAUAUCACGAAGAACUCCGAUUGCGAAGGCAGCUUGCUGGACUGUAACUGACGCUGAUGCUCGAAAGUGUGGGUAUCAAACAGGAUUAGAUACCCUGGUAGUCCACACAGUAAACGAUGAAUACUCGCUGUUUGCGAUAUACAGUAAGCGGCCAAGCGAAAGCGUUAAGUAUUCCACCUGGGGAGUACGCCGGCAACGGUGAAACUCAAAGGAAUUGACGGGGGCCCGCACAAGCGGAGGAACAUGUGGUUUAAUUCGAUGAUACGCGAGGAACCUUACCCGGGCUUAAAUUGCAACUGACUGAACCGGAAACGGUUCCUUCUUCGGACAGUUGUGAAGGUGCUGCAUGGUUGUCGUCAGCUCGUGCCGUGAGGUGUCGGCUUAAGUGCCAUAACGAGCGCAACCCUUAUCGAUAGUUACUAGCAGGUCAUGCUGAGGACUCUAUUGAGACUGCCGUCGUAAGAUGUGAGGAAGGUGGGGAUGACGUCAAAUCAGCACGGCCCUUACGUCCGGGGCUACACACGUGUUACAAUGGGGGGUACAGAAGGCAGCUACACGGCGACGUGGUGCUAAUCCCGAAAGCCUCUCUCAGUUCGGAUUGGAGUCUGCAACCCGACUCCAUGAAGCUGGAUUCGCUAGUAAUCGCGCAUCAGCCACGGCGCGGUGAAUACGUUCCC
rnacentral:rRNA from 2 species